CGGCGGCGGCGGCGGGAGCGGGGCGGCGGGAGCGCAGGCGGGCCCCGCCGCCCCCCGUCACCCUCCAGGAGCAGGUGAGCCACUGACUAACGCACAUUGUGCUCUCGGCGACUCCACUGUGCGUGUGACAGCGGCUAACCUGCUCCUCGGACAUCGCUGUGCGGCCGCCUUGCCUCCACGGACCGGCGCCUCGACGCCUCGACGCCCGCCUCCCCUCCCGGCCGCCCCGGAGAGGGGCUCUGCUGUGCCAAGGAGUCGGCGUCCCCCAUCCAGCGCCACUGUCCCGUCUCCAGCGGCUCCCUGUUCUCAGCGCCGUGGACCCCCGACGUGCCGUGGGUAGCGCCCCGCGAUCGGCCGCACUGCGCAGGGGAGCGUGAAAAGAUGGAACACUUCUCGCAGCAGGGCUCGGUGUGUCCGGCGGGAACAGAGAUGAAGGGAACGGGCCGUGUCGGCAUGUGGGUGCAAAUAGUUGGCGGUAAAGUUGCUCAGGAGGGAUGGCAUGCCCCCCUCUUUCCUCCCCCGCUCUUCUCCAAAGCAAAUAAGUGCUAGUGGACUCCGUACCAAGUUAAAGAGACGCAUCAUCCCGUCGGGUGACGUCUUGAUACCCGGUCAGUGACUAACUGAACUGCUAUUGCCAAGGGUGUGUUAAUAGAAGAAACUCUGCCUAGUAUUGCCCCGGAUGAGUCACAUUUAAAGAGAGACUCUCUAAUCUGUUAAAUGAAAAGCAGAGACGAGCCUCACUUUCCUUUUUUGUUGCUGUUCCCAUCCCACCCUUCACCUUUGCUUGCUGCUUUCUGCUGCUUGUGCCAGGGCUGUAUUGGCGCCCCAGCCCUGGCUGGGCGUUUUCAGAGCUGCCUUGCAUGGUCGUGCUGUGAUGUCACGCAGGGACCUCUGACUUCAUGGCCCUGAGGAACAGGAAGGCGAGCCAGGCAGGGACUCUUCCAGUCACCCGGGGUGGCUGUCAUUAAAAAUGGAGGAAGUGACGAAGCAGAUGGCUUCUCCUACAAAGUUCUCUCUUGUGAUUUCUGGGCUGGUGAAGAAGCUGGGUAGUUGCAAAUUGUCUUUUGUGAAGAGCAGCACAGCUUUAUUGUCAGCUCAAGUUUCUAAUAACAGGCUAGGAUUCACUGCAGCCUGCCAAGGUUCCCUGAAAGGACUUGGGUUAUUCUCCCUCUUCCUUGGGCUGCUCGCAUGUAGCCCUUGACCGUUGUAAAAGCUUGAUCUGAAGGAAUUGGCCUGGUCAGUAAGUAGUUAAUUGCACAGAAGGCAGAGUAAUGUCUGAUACAUGGGUAAAGUCUCUCACUGAAAAAUUUUGCCUGUCCCCAUCGCUCCUGCCUGUUCUUUGUCAUUUCUCCCUCUGAGUCCCAGAGGAGCGUCUGCUCUUCCGCAAGAAAAAUCAGCUCCCUCUGUUGGCUGUGCAGACUGGGUGAGUCUGGGGUGCUCCAAGAGAGUCAGGAAAAUCAACUGAAUGUACCAGAGCUGCUUUCAUGCUUGUUCAGAAACGAAGUGGGCCUUUUUUUUUUUUUUUUUUAAUGGGGGCAGAGGAGGGGGUGGGGAGGGCAGGCAAGUUCACAGCUGUCUCAGCCCUGGAAUGCUUUUUUUCCUCCCUAGCUGCACCUACAGCAUCUUCCCACUGCCAGUCCCGAGCAGGCAGGAGCACAGUGUAGCCACGUGGAGAGUAGGGAGAGAGGGAAACCUGGUGCAAAAUCCACGUGUACAACUGUGUCUGAGAGCUGGAACUGCAGCCCACAGACCCCUACCACCCCAUUUUAUAGGUGACCACACACGUAGCAAACCUGUGUCUGAAAGUGAAGGUGCUCUGUUUCUCUUUGAAGAAAUAACCCUGUGUUUGGGACUGUGCUGCCUGAUGAGUAACCCCUGGAGAUGCCACUGGCAGAAGCAGCUCUGCAGGUCACCUGGCAAGACUUGUCCCAGUUCCCGUGAGCAGCACUGUGGUAUGAAUGUGUCCAGCUUCCUGCUACCUAUGGAACCAUCCUGUUCAGCUCCAGGCAAGGUAGAAUGCACUCAGUCUGUACUCUGAGACAGAAAGAAAAAUCAUCAUAGGAGAGCAGACAAUGCUCCCUGCAUGGACAUGCACACCAGUUCAAGCAGCUCUUCUCCAUCUGCAGUGAACUACCCUGGUAGAAGCUGUGCGCCUAGGAGCAGCAGAGCAUCUGGACACCACUUGGGGAGCAAAGCCAACAGGCAUUUUCUCCUCCAGACAUUCACACCUUUCCUUAUGUAACUGGAGCUGAAGUGUGUGCUUUAAAAGCUGCUUGCCAAAUUCAGGGGCUGGGAGGCAGCACAAGCACUUCUACUACUCUAGAUGAAAUUUAGGGGAAAAAAAAUCCAAACCCAAACACUGAGGAGCUCGUACAAAUUGGUGACUGCGAACUGGGGGUGGUAUAAGCGCCUUGAGAAACUCUACUGGCCUGGGGCAGUGCUGGCAGGCAGACCAUCUGCAAAGGAUGCAUGGCCUAAGGAGCUGACAGUCCAGAGUAGAUGGGUGAGGAAAUGGGGUCGAUUUUUAUAUUGCCAUUUUAAAAAAAGAAAAAAUUAAAAAUGGGGUAGUGCAGUGAAGAAAAGAGCUCCAGGGAAGCUGGAGGUGGCUGAAUUACUCUCCUGAAUGGUGCCUUGUGCUGACAGAGCCUGCAAAUU